AGCGCUUGUUAGGUGCAUGUAUAUCCAACUGGUCCUCACCAUUGCAUGUCUCAAUUCUCCAUUGGUUCCAUUGCUUGGCAAUUUAGCAUGCAUCAACAUCAUUUGGAUAGUACUCGAUCAGAAAAUGCCAAAGUAUAUCGACAUUUAUGCUUAAUAUCGUGGAAUGGUCUGGUCAGGACUCAGGACUUUAUGAGCCAACGACGAGCCUCUGCAUCUCACUAUACAUGAACCUUUCUGAAAAUGACACCACCAAAAUGUCGUAUUAGUGUUGGGUCACUAAUAAUUUGAUGAAAAGCAAAAGCCUUUUCAAGUUUUCAACCAAACUUGGUAAAUGUACACAAUUGUCGAUCAUGUACUAUUGUAGAUUUGUAGAUCCCCAAAUUGACUGCAAGUGUAUAUACAAUGCAGGAUGUGUUUGAGUUAUAAACUAUACAACUACGUGAGAUACACUAGAGUGAAAUACAGCGGAGAGGAUUCAGUGCACGUCGGUGCAGUUGCACCAAACAGAUCAACCAAACGAUGGUUAGUGACAAAAAAAAAAUCAAAUUGCAGUAAAAACCCAGGAACUGCAGUAAAGAAAUCGAACUGGCUCUGCUCACCUCCCCGUCCCCAAAACCCAGCCUCUCCAUGCUCCGUCGUCCAAAGAGCCCGCCAAGGUCUGGAUGGUCAACUUCUUCUUCGUCUCCUCCGCCGUAGCCCUCAUCAUCUAGGCCGAGAGCGACCGCACGAAGAUUACGAACAUCAAGAAUGGAUAGGAAACCCAAACACUAGAUCUACGAUUCUUGACAAAUCAUUCAAAAUUGCAUCAGUUGCUUCCAAUUGCUUCCAUUGAUUCUCUAAAUCCACUAAUAGAUUCAUAUCAGAACCCCAUGGCCGCCACAACUCAUCUUGACAAACGUCGGAUAUAGAGAAAGGGCUGGACCUUUCGUUUCUGACUUCAAUGCUUGCCCGCGCCGGCGGAGGAGCCGCGGAGACCCCAAUUCCCUCCUCUUCGAUCUGAUUGAAACUCUCUUUUUUUAAGGUUUGAGAUCUGAUUUUUUUCCUUUUUGGCAAAUGGUCUGAGAUCUGAUUGAACCUCAAAGACCUCGAUUGCCAGAAAUCCUGCAAUCCUAAUUUCAGAAUUUUUUUCCUUUUUUACCCAUCUUGUUUAAUUAAUGAAAUUAUAUUUACUUUUGCUUUUACUAUGUUAACUAGAUUUUUUUUCUUUUCAGUUCUUUACGGUG
rnacentral:lncRNA from 1 species